AACUUAGUUUAAGUAAUUGAUUUUGUCACACCCCAUUUAUUUCUCCUCUUUAGUGGAGGACAAGUGGCAUGUCUAUGGAGUUUUCCAGUGCUAGUGGGAGACAAGAGAGCAGCAACAUUAAUUUCUUUGUCCUCGGUGAACGUGUGGCAACAGAGAGAAUGAGAGCUUAUAGAAAGUGGAAGACAUGUGGCAAGCAGGGAGUGGACCAAGCGUCCAUUUUGGAGGCAUAUUUAAAGUCAGAUUUUGAAAACUGGUGCCACUUCUGCAUGCAAACCCACUUCGUUUUCAACCUUCAAAAACACCAUUUCUCCUCCUUCUUUCUAGAAUCCACCAUCUUCUCUCUAAAUUUCUGACCUCUUCCUCUCCUCCGACCACCUCACUCCUUUUAGAUUAAAUCUUCCCGACGACGAGACCUUCCAUUUGCACCAAUU
rnacentral:lncRNA from 1 species